GGUCCUGUAGUCUAGUGGUUAGGACGUCAGGUUUUGAAACAACCUUCUGAAAUCCCCGGUUCGAACCCGGGCAGGACCU
rnacentral:tRNA from 1 species